GAUGAACGCUGGCGGCGUGCCUAAUACAUGCCAGUCGAGCGAACGGACGAGAAGCUUGCUUCUCUGAUGUUAGCGGCGGACGGGUGAGUAACACGUGGAUAACCUACCUAUAAGACUGGGAUAACUUCGGGAAACCGGAGCUAAUACCGGAUAAUAUUUUGAACCGCAUGGUUCAAAAGUGAAAGACGGUCUUGCUGUCACUUAUAGGUGGAUCCGCGCUGCAUUAGCUAGUUGGUAAGGUAACGGCUUACCAAGGCAACGAUGCAUAGCCGACCUGAGAGGGUGAUCGGCCACACUGGAACUGAGACACGGUCCAGACUCCUACGGGAGGCAGCAGUAGGGAAUCUUCCGCAAUGGGCGAAAGCCUGACGGAGCAACGCCGAGUGAGUGAUGAAGGUCUUCGGAUCGUAAAACUCUGUUAUUAGGGAAGAACAUAUGUGUAAGUAACUGCGCACAUCUUGACGGUACCUAAUCAGAAAGCCACGGCUAACUACGUG
rnacentral:rRNA from 1 species